rnacentral:rRNA from 1 species
CACGGGGGGGGCAAGCGUUGUUCGGAAUCACUGGGCGUAAAGGGCGUGUAGGCGGUUGCGUAAGUGGAAUGUGAAAUCCCCCGGCUUACCCGGGGACCUGCAUCCCAAACUGCGCGACUUGAGUAUGGGAGAGGAUGAGGGAAUUCCUGGUGUAGCGGUGAAAUGCGUAGAUAUCAGGAGGAACACCGGUGGCGAAGGCGCUCAUCUGGCCCAAUACUGACGCUGAGGCGCGAAAGCUAGGGUAGCGAACGGG